UGCCUAAACCAACUGUACACUUGGAAACAACUCUCAAAAGAAACCUCAUACCCAAUAUCCACCGUUCCAAUUUCGCUUCGAAAGGAGCCCACCAUGCUCACUCAUGCUCCCUCUUAAUCUAUAAAAUGCUGUUUUACUUCGUACUGUUCUCAAGGGACCUGAUCUGUUCCCCUGCUUAAUAGCUAAAGACAACCGAUCCCCAACCAAACUUGAAGCUGAAAACGGUCUGUUUUC
rnacentral:misc_RNA from 1 species